UACGUAGGCGCGAGCGUUGUCCGGAAUUACUGGGUGUAAAGCGCGUGUAGGCGGGAGGCCAAGUCUGUGGUGAAAUCGCUCGGCUUAACUGGGCGGGGUCCAUGGAAACUGGUCACCUGGAGGUCGGUAGAGGCAAGUGGAAUUCCCGGUGUAGUGGUGAAAUGCGUAGAGAUCGGGAGGAACACCAGUGGCGAAGGCGGCUUGCUGGGCCGGACCUGACGCUGAGACGCGAAGGCGUGGGGAGCGAACGGG
rnacentral:rRNA from 1 species